CCAGAACCUAUAGCCGUCGGGUCGACCCAUUCCGUUCAGUUCUAAACCAAACAGAAACCAUACAGCCAUCAUACGCGCGAAUACAGUUGUAAACAAGCGGUGUAGAGAAAAUAGAUAAACAAAGUUUAGAAAUGGAAGAGGAUAUUCUCCUAUUGCUAGUCUGGACCCUGCUCCUGAUUAUCCUGUUCCUCUUGUUCCUCUACACCUUCUCUUCCUCCCUCCAAGAGCUCUGGGGAGCCUUAGUUACUGGAACCUUUGGGAAACCUCAGGUUCCUAAAUAUCAGACAGAAGUUAUAAAACUUCUUCGAGAAAUCUCAAAAGAAUCUACUCCGACAGAAACACAAGAUUUCCUUCAGAAGAAAGAAAUUGAAAUCCGACUGCUGUAAAAAUAUUGAUUCUAUAUAAAGAGUGAGACCCUUAAAAUAUUGGAAUAGCAAGACGGCAUUUAAGAAAGCUUAUGGGGUAUUGAUUUGAUGAUCCUUAAUUAAAUACUUUUACCAUCCAUUGCUUGAAAAUCACUACAUAAUACAGGGUGUCCCAAAAAACAUGGGAAUUUAGUGACGAAUUGGAUAUCGUCUUUGUUAUAAUUAGCAUUGU